AAAAAGAAAUUGUGGGGGGCCAAUUUUUUCUCAUUUCAGAUUUCAGAAAUUAAAAAGAAUUAUUCUUCAAAUAUUAUUUUUUUUUCAAAUUUCAAAUAUUGAAAAAUUUCAAGAAGUAAUCUUUAAUUGCACAGUAUGGCGCAUUAGAUUUGUAAAAUCUUUGAUCACAUUUAUUUAUUUGUUAUGCCGAAUCUAACAGUGUAUUUAGAUUUUUAAUUUUGGGUCCAGUUUUCAAAUUGGUCUACAUUAAUGUCCAAAGGGUCCAAAAUUAAACUUUGUUUGAUUUUAGCAAAAAUUGAAUAUAUGAGGUUCUUUGAUAUGCUGAAUCUAAACAUGUAUUUAGAUUUUUGAUUUUUGGCCCAGUUUUCAAGUUGGUCCAAAUUGGGGUCCAAAAUUAAACUUUGUUUGAUUUCAACAAAAAUUGAAUAUAUGGGGUUCUUUGAUAUGCUGAAUCUAACCAUGUAUUUAGAUUUUUUAUUUGUGGACCCCGUUAUCUAAUUGGUUCAUAUUGAGGUCAAAAGGGUCCAAAAUUAAACUUUGUUUGAUUUCAUCUAAAAUUGAAUUAUUGGGGUUCUUUGAUAUUCCAAAUCUAACCGUGUAUUUAGGUUCUUAAUUUUGGGUCCUGUUUUUUAAAUUGGUCUACAUUGAGGUCCAAAGGGUCCAAAAUUAAACUUAGUUUGAUUUUAACAAAAAUUGAAUUCUUGGGGUUCUUUGAUUUGCUGAAUCUAAACAUGUGUUUAGAUUUUUGAUUAUGGGCCCAGUUUUCAAGUUGGUCCAAGAUAGGGUCCAGUAUUUAAACUUUGUUUGAUUUCAACAAAAAUUGAAUAUAUGGGGUUCUUUGAUAUGCUGAAUCUAAACAUGUAUUUAGAUUUUUGAUUAUGGGCCCAGUUUUCAAGUUGGUCCAAAUUGGGGUCCAAAAUUAAACUUUGUAUGAUUUCAACAAAAAUUGAAUAUAUGAUGUUCUUUGAUAUGCUGAAUCUAACCAUGUAUUUAGAUUUUUUAUUUGUAGGCCCCGCUAUCAAAUUGGUUCAUAUUGAGGUCAAAAGGGUCCAAAAUUAAACUUUGUUUGAUUUCAUCGAAAAUUGAAUUAUUGGGGUUCUUUGAUAUGCCAAAUCUAACCGUGUUUUUAGAUUUUUAAUUUGGGUCCCGUUUUUUAAAUUGGUCUUCAUUGAGGUCCAAAGGGUCCAAAAUUAAACUUAGUUUGAUUUUAACAAAAAUUGAAUUCUUGGGGUUCUUUGAUAUGCUGAAUCUAAACAUGUAUUUAGAUUUUUGAUUUUUGGCCCAGUUUUCAAGUUGGUCCAAAUUGGGGUCCAAAAUUAAACUUUGUUUGAUUUCAACAAAAAUUGAAUAUAUGGGGUUCUUUGAUAUGCUGAAUCUAACCAUGUAUUUAGAUUUUUUAUUUGUGGACCCCGUUAUCUAAUUGGUUCAUAUUGAGGUCAAAAGGGUCCAAAAUUAAACUUUGUUUGAUUUCAUCUAAAAUUGAAUUAUUGGGGUUCUUUGAUAUUCCAAAUCUAACCGUGUAUUUAGGUUCUUAAUUUUGGGUCCUGUUUUUUAAAUUGGUCUACAUUGAGGUCCAAAGGGUCCAAAAUUAAACUUAGUUUGAUUUUAACAAAAAUUGAAUUCUUGGGGUUCUUUGAUUUGCUGAAUCUAAACAUGUGUUUAGAUUUUUGAUUAUGGGCCCAGUUUUCAAGUUGGUCCAAGAUAGGGUCCAGUAUUUAAACUUUGUUUGAUUUCAACAAAAAUUGAAUAUAUGGGGUUCUUUGAUAUGCUGAAUCUAAACAUGUAUUUAGAUUUUUGAUUAUGGGCCCAGUUUUCAAGUUGGUCCAAAUUGGGGUCCAAAAUUAAACUUUGUAUGAUUUCAACAAAAAUUGAAUAUAUGAUGUUCUUUGAUAUGCUGAAUCUAACCAUGUAUUUAGAUUUUUUAUUUGUAGGCCCCGCUAUCAAAUUGGUUCAUAUUGAGGUCAAAAGGGUCCAAAAUUAAACUUUGUUUGAUUUCAUCGAAAAUUGAAUUAUUGGGGUUCUUUGAUAUGCCAAAUCUAACCGUGUUUUUAGAUUUUUAAUUUGGGUCCCGUUUUUUAAAUUGGUCUUCAUUGAGGUCCAAAGGGUCCAAAAUUAAACUUAGUUUGAUUUUAACAAAAAUUGAAUUCUUGGGGUUCUUUGAUAUGCUGAAUCUAAACAUGUAUUUAGAUUUUUGAUUAUGGGCCCAGUUUUCAAGUUGGUCCAAGUUGGGGUCCAAAAUUAAACUUUUUUUUAUUUCAACAAAAAUUGAAUAUAUGGGGUUCUUUGAUAUGCUGAAUCUAACCAUGAAUUUAGAAUUUUUAUUUGUGGGCCCCGCUAUCAAAUUGGUUCAUAUUGAGGUCAAAAGGGUCCAAAAUUAAACUUUGUUUGAUUUCAUCAAAAAUUGAAUUAUUGGGUUUUUUUGAUAUUCCAAAUCUAACCGUGUAUUUAGAUUUUUAAUUUUAAGUCCCGUUUUUUAAAUUGGUCUACAUUAAGGUCCAAAGGGUCCAAAUUAAACUUAGUUUGAAUUUAGCAAAAAUUGAAUUCUUGGGGUUCUUUGAUAUGCUGAAUCUAAACAUGUGUUUAGAUUUUUGAUUAUGGGCCCAGUUUUCAAGUUUGUCCAAGUUGGGGUCCAAAAUUAAACUUUGUUUGAUUUUAACAAAAAUUGAAUAUAUGGUGUUCUUUGAUAUGCUGAAUCUAACCAUGUAUUUUGAUUUUGGACAUUGGACCAUAAUAGGUAAAUUAAAAAAAUUCAAGUUCUUAGACCACAUUCUUUCUGUGUCAGAAACCUAUGCUGUGUCAAAUAUUUAAUAACAAUCCAAAUUCAGAGCUGUAUCAAGCUUGAAUGUUGUGUCCAUACUUGCCCCAACUGUUCAGGGUUCGACCUCUGCGGUCGUAUCAAGCUGCGCCCCAGCGAAGCAUUUUAUUUUAAUUUAACAUCAUUUCAUAUAAACUGGUUAAAAAUGAGACUAUUCAAUAAGAACUAACAAUUAAACAUUUGAAAUUUCAUACUAUUUUUGGGAAGAUUUUUCAAUACAUUUGAACUGUGUUUCAUUGGUUGUCUUGAACACACACGAGCAUGCUGGAUGCUGUUUAAUAUCUACAAAACACUUGAUAUAGAAUGUUGCAUUGCCAUGCAGCCUAUGGGAAUAUAAAUAAUCAUGUGAUCUUGUGAAAAUCUCAUUAAUAAUAUAUUAUAUAUAUACAGAUAGAUAUACAGUGAGAGGGAGAGAGAAAGAAAGCUGUUGAUCAGAUGAUAUUGCCUCAUUUGGAAACUUGAGGUUAACUUCAAGGAAGAAGUUUUGAGAGAUGGGACCGAAAAACAAAUCUUUCAUUUAUCAAUGAGGACUUUCAAAAUGAGAAAGACAUUUAUUUUGGAUGAUUUUUGUCGAGCCUGCGAUUUUUGUCGCAAAAGCGAGAAAGCGAUCCUACGUUCUGUCGUCGUCGGCGGCGUCCACAAAUAUUCAUUCUGUGGUUAUUUUUUUUGAAAUUUUAAUAACUUUCUUAAACUAUCCUGGAUUUCUACCAAACUUGGACAGAAGCUUGUUUAUGAUCAAAAGCUAGUACGUAGAAGGAAAUUUUGUAAAAAUUUAUUUCCUGUUUUUCCGUAUAUUACUUUUAUAAAUGGACUUAGUUUUUAUACGACCGCAAAAAAAUUUUGCGGUCGUAUAUUGGUAUGACGUUGGCGUCGUCGUCGUCGUCCGGCGUCGUCGUCGUGUUCCGAAGACACAUUGGUUUUCGCACUCUAACUUUAGUUUAAGUGAAUGGAUCUCUAUGAAAUUUUACCACAAGGUUUAAUACCACAAAAGGAAGGUUGGAAUUAAUUUUGGGGGUUAUGAUACCAACAGUUAAGGAAUAAGGGGCCAAAAAUUAGAUUUUUUGUAACUUCCAGACAUAACUUGUGUGUUAGUGUAGGGAUUUCUCUGACAUUGUACCACAAGGUUCCAUAACACAAAGGGAAUGCUGGGAUUGAUUUUGGGGGUAAUUGCCUCAAAAUUUUAGGAAUUAUGGGCCAAAAAGGGGGCAAAAAACAAGCAUUUUUCUAGUUUCAUGACAAUAACUUGUGUGUAAGUGUAUGGAUCUUUCUGAAAUUGUACUACGAGGUUCCAUAUCACAAAGGGAAAGCUGGAAUUGAGUUUCGGGGUAAUUGCCUGAAAUGUUUAGGAAUAAGGGGCCAAAAAUAAGCAUUUUUCUAGUUUCCAGAGAAUAACUUGUGUUCAAGUGUAUGGAUCUUUCUGAAAUUGUACUGCAAGGUACCAUACCACAAAUGGAAGGCUGGGAUUGAUUUUGGGGGUAAUUGCCUCAAAAUUUUAGGAAUUAGGGGCAAAAAAGGGGCAAAAAACAAGCAUGUUUCUAGUUUCUGGACAAUAACUUGUUUGUAAGUGUAUGGAUCUUUAUGAAAUUGUACUACAAGGUUCCAUAUCACAAAGGGGAAGCUGGGUUUGAGUUUGGGGGUAAUUGCCCUAAACAUUUAGGAAUUUGGGGCCAAAAAACAAGCAUUUUUCUAGUUUCCAGACAAUAACUUGUGUUCAAGUGUAUGGAUCUCUCUGAAAUUGUACUGCAAGGUACCAUACCACAAAGGGAAGGCUGGGAUUGAGUUUGGGGGUGAUGAAUCAUAAGGGGGUUCAAAAAAUUUGGGGGGGGGGAUUUUUUUUUCCCUUUUUUUUCUUUAAAAUUUUCCGUUUUAAAUUGGUUAUUUCUGAUUUAUAUAUAAAAGCAAAUAAUAAUGAUAUGGUUUGAAUAGGUAAAUCAAAAAUUUUUAAGUUCUUAGACCACAUUCAUUCUGUGUCAAAAACCUAUGCUGUGUCAAAUAUUUAAUCACAAUCCAAAUUCAGAGCUGUAUCAAGCUUGAAUGUUGUGUCCAUACUUGUCCCAAAUGUUCAAGGUUCGACCUCUGCGGUCGUAUCAAGCUGCGCCCAGCGGAGCAUUUUAUUCUGUCAGUUAACAUUACAGUCACUCUGUGGUUAAAGUUUUAAAAAUUUUAAUUACUUUCUUAAACUAUCCUGGAUUUCUACUAAACUUGGACAGAAGCUUGUUUAUGAUCAAAAGCUAGUACGUAGAAGGAAAUUUUGUAAAAAAUUAUUUCCUGUUUUUCCGUAUAUUACUUAUAAAUGGACUUGAGUUUUUCUUCCAGUUAACAUUACAUACAGUCUGCAGUUAAAGUUUUUAAAACAUUUAUUAGAUUCAUAAACCAACCUGGAUUUUUACCAAACUUGGACAGAAGCUUCUUACAAUCAAAAGAUAGUAUCUAGAGGAACAUUUUUAAUAACUUUUUCCCCAUUUUUGUUGAGCCUGCGACUUUUGUCUUCCAGACAAUAUAUAGAUUGGAUUGCAUACUGUAUUCAUUUUUUAUAAGUAUAACUUUUUUCAUACAUUUAAAACGUUUUAUUUCAUUAACUGUAAAUCUAUUAUGUGCAUUCCCCUAUCACACUGAAAACAUAGACAACAGCAAAAGUAGGCGAGACACUGGGUUCCGCGGAACCCUUACAAAUUUUUUAACCUACAGUGCUUAGAUUUGAGUGUUUAGGGAAAAAAGGGAUUAGAAUAACUUACUGGCUGGCUGAACCAGGAAAUCAGUAUUAUCUCAUUAGUGGCAGGCCUUUUUUUUAAACAAAUUAUUUGUUUCAGGAGGAACACAGAGCAUGUCUUUUUAAUUUUCACUUCUAGUUGAUAAUAAAUCUCAGUUUGACAUAGUUUAAAUUUGUGAAGUAAGUUAUAUAUACUUUUGGACACCUUUCAAAGAAAUAUUUUACUUGGAUGCAUUGUGAAAUGUAAACAUCAAGGUCAGCCAAUCAAACAAAACCAAAUUCUACAGGUUUGGCUUGACAAACAAUCAAGUGCGAAUAAAAUUAAUUGUUUUAUCGGAGAAAACAAAAUAAAAAUGUUUUAGAAGUUCUGUUUUCAGUUAUUUACUUUCCAUUAUUUAUAAAAAUUAUUUCUAUAGUGGAUUUAAAAAACUCAUGCUUACACUAAACAAAGAAUCGAAGCUCUUUGUUAGAGAAGGCGAUAAAUGCUUACUGUAAUGUUUACUAUAGUAACAAAUUUUUUAAAAGUUAAUAGAAACAAAUAAAAUGAGUUUUCGGCUAAAUUACGAAGUAUUUUAUCAUAAAAACACAAUUUGCAUAAGUUUUCAAUUUAUCUAUUACAUAAUUUAGCAGAACAAUUAGAUAUCAAGUCGACGAUAUGGCUGACUAUUCAGUUGGAUCUAAAAAAAAUGCAUAACCUCCGAUUUUUAUUUUUUUUUACCACGGACGGAGAACAUAUCAAUCUAUUUGUUCCUUAAUUUUCGUUUCUGCCCUUCCAUUAUUUAACUCAAGAAAAAAUUCAAAAAAAUGGGUCACAAUUGCAUCGAAAAGAUUAAAUCGAGUGCACCUUUUUAUGUAAGGGCGUGUUUGAGUUAAAUAUUUUGUCUUGAAAACGUAUAAAGCAAGAGUAUUUGAUACAUCAUCUCACUUCAGAUUCUAUUAUUUUUAUAUAUCAAGGCUACAUGUUGACUUUAUAACAUCGAAAGUUCACAGUACUAAAAAAUAUAUGGGUCAAGUGAAAUACCUUUCUAUAAUGAAUCACAAAAGCAGAGUAGGUGUGUUCGAAUAGCAAAUUUUUACUAAAAGUACUUGACGACUGACUUUUAAGUUGGAUCUUAAAAAUGCAUAUCUUCGAAAAAAUUUCAUUUUUUUGUGUGUGAUAAUUAGGGUUUAUAGUCUUCAACCGCUGAAAAUUUUUAGUCUGCCCUUCCACGAAAUAUUUAUUUAGAUUUUUUUUUAAAUGUUUAUGAAUUUCCGAAAAUUCGACCUGACAACCGAUCCGACAAUAGUUUUAAGUUGACUGAAUGCAGACAAGUACAUUAACUGAUGCUCAUUAGCUAGUAGAUACAUUUGUCUUUAAAAUACACCUGGCAUAUAAGGAUCGUAAUGGUGCUAUGUGGAUAAAUUUAUCGGUUUUCAAGAGCUAAAUUGGAAGCGCGUCAUCUCUACAAUGGCUUCCAUUUUUACGAUUGUAAAAAUGAACUGGCGUAAUGGGGAGAAAAUUUUGACAAAGUAGAAUCCUGACUGUAAAGGGAUGCAUGUGUUACUGAUUUAAGUAAAAUAUCAGAUGUAAAUGACAGUCAAUAAAUUGACAUACCAAAUACACCUACAACAGGUUUGUAAGUAGGCAUAUAAUUGGCAAACCAAAUACACAACAGGUUUGUAAAUAGGCAUAUAAUUGACAAACCAAACACACAACAGGUUUGUAAAUAGGCAUAUAAUUGACAAACCAAACACACAACAGGUUUGUAAAUAGGCAUAUAAUUGACAAACCAAACACACAACAGGUUUGUAAAUAGGCAUAUAAUUGACAAACCUAACACACAACAGGUUUGUAAAUAGGCAUAUUAUUGACAAACCAAACACACAACAGGUUUGUAAAUAGGCAUAUAAUUGACAAACCAAACACACAACAGGUUUGUAAAUAGGCAUAUAAUUGACAAACCAAACACAACAGGUUUGUAAAUAGGCAUAUAAUUGACAUCAGAUUUUAAAAUUUUGUUCAUGUAAAACUGGUUUCACAAUGUUCUAUGCUGUUCCUAUUUACUGUCAUAGUCUCUUUAACAAUUAACUUAUCUCAAAGGAAGGUAGUACCUGAGCUAAUGGUGAUUUUAUGAUUCAGUUGGCUAGCUAGGUAACCAAAGUUCUUGUUUCUCCUACACACUUAGAUCGUUGCGCUGAAGUGCUGAACACAUUAUACUGUACACACACAAUGUAGUUUUCUAUUCAUUGGUUGUACAAUAAAUCUACUUAAUUUUCCCUUUGUCUGUGAUAUGUAAAAUAACCAUUUUGUCUGGCUUUGAAUUUUUUAUAGAAUUAUUUUUUUUUAUACGCCCGUUUACGGGACGUAUUAUGGUAUACCGUUAACCGUCUGUCCGUCCGUCCGUCGUCAACAUGUCGGACAUUAACUCAAAAAAGCUUUAACCAAUAUGAUUGAAACUUUGGUGAAUUGUUUAUAUCUAUUGACGUGAGCUCCCUUUUGUUUUUUAUAAAUUUCAGAAUUCCCGUUUCCGAGUUUUGGGGUUUUAUUUAUUAAAAAAGGGGUGAUUUUCCAGUUUUCCAACAUUAACUCAAGAAUGCUUUCACCAACUUGCAAGAAAUUUUGGUGAAUUGUUUAUAUCUAUUGACAUGAGCUCCCUUUCGAUUUUUAUAAAUUUUAGAUUUUACGUUUCCGAGUUGCAGGGUUUUAUUCAUAAAAAAGGGUGAUCUUCCAGUUUUCGGACAAUAACUAAAAAAUGCUUUCAGCAGUUCUCAUGAAACUUUGGUGAAUUGUUUAUAUCUGUUGAUGUAAGCUCUCUUUAGAAUUUUAUAAAUUUUAGAUUUUACAUUUUGAGUUGUGGGGUUUUAUUCAUUAAAAAAGGGGGGAUUUUCCAGUUUUUGGACAAUAACUCAAAAAUGCUUUCAGCAGUUCUCAUGAAACUUUCGUGAAAUAUUUAUAGCUAUUGAUGUAAUUUCCCAAUUGAUUUUCAUAAAUUUUAAAUAUGACAUUAAGAAGAAAUUGAACUUUAUUUGUUUAUAGUCUGACAACAGAUUUACUAAGUAUUUCGUAACAGCACAGUGUAUUGCACAACUGCAAGAAAUCUUUAAUUGAAUAUAAAUUCAAUUCCUAUAACCAGUUUCAAGUUCUUUGACUACAUUUAUCAGAAACCUAUAAUAUGUCAAAUAUUUAAUUACAAUCCAAAUUCAGACCUGUGUCAAGCUUGAAUAUUGUGUCCAUUUUUGCCCCAACUGUUCAGGGUUGGACCUCUGCGGGCGUAUCCAGCUGCGCUCAGCGAAGCAGUUUAUUUAUAUUGCCACAUGUUUUUAUUUUUGAAUUGUAGUAUAAUAUUUCAUGAUAAUUUUGAAACAUUCUGUAUACAUUCCCUCUAUGUAAUUAAUGUAAGGGGUAUUAUGUAUUGUAACUUAUAUUAAAACCAGUCGGUUGUUUUUUUAUUUAAAUAUUUGCAGUUUGCAUGUGUCAGACUGAUACCUUGAUUUGUAUUUUAUAAGCAUGUUAAUAAACAUAUAAAAUGAA